CCCUUAGAUGUUCUGGGCCGCACGCGCGCCACACUGAUGCAUUCAACGAGUGUACCUUGGCCGAGAGGCCUGGGCAAUCUUUUGAACGUGCAUCGUGAUAGGGAUAGAUUAUUGCAAUUAUUAAUCUUGAACGAGGAAUUCCUAGUAAACGCAGAUCAUCAAUCUGCAUUGAUUACGUCCCUGCCCUUUGUACACACCGCCCGUCGCACCUACCGAUUGGAUGGUCCGGUGAAGCCUCGGGAUUGUGGCGGUUGCCUUUAUUGGUGGCCGCCGCGAGAACUUGUCUAAACCUUAUCAUCUAGAGGAAGGUGAAGUCGUAACA
rnacentral:rRNA from 1 species